GUCGAGCGAACAGAUGAAGUGCUUGCACUUCUGACGUUAGCGGCGAACGGGUGAGUAACACGUAAGGAAUCUACCUAUAAGCGGGGGAUAACAUUCGGAAACGGGUGCUAAUACCGCAUAAUAUCUUCUUCCGCAUGGAAGAAGAUUGAAAGACGGCUCUGCUGUCACUUAUAGAUGACCUUGCGGUGCAUUAGUUAGUUGGUGGGGUAACGGCCUACCAAGACGAUGAUGCAUAGCCGACCUGAGAGGGUGAUCGGCCACAUUGGGACUGAGACACGGCCCAAACUCCUACGGGAGGCAGCAGUAGGGAAUCUUCCGCAAUGGGCGAAAGCCUGACGGAGCAAUGCCGCGUGAGUGAAGAAGGCCUUCGGGUCGUAAAACUCUGUUAUAAGAGAAGAACAAAUUGUAGAGUAACUGCUACAGUCUUGACGGUAUCUUAUCAGAAAGCCACGGCUAACUACGUGCCAGCAGCCGCGGUAAUACGUAGGUGGCAAGCGUUGUCCGGAUUUAUUGGGCGUAAAGGGAGCGCAGGUGGUUUCUUAAGUCUGAUGUGAAAGCCCACGGCUUAACCGUGGAGGGUCAUUGGAAACUGGGAAACUUGAGUACAGAAGAGGAAUGUGGAACUCCAUGUGUAGCGGUGGAAUGCGUAGAUAUAUGGAAGAUCACCAGUGGCGAAGGCGACAUUCUGGUCUGUUACUGACACUGAGGCUCGAAAGCGUGGGGAGCAAACAGGAUUAGAUAC
rnacentral:rRNA from 1 species